GGGGAAUUGAGUGAGGCUUCGGGCUCGACCUCCACCCUUUGUGAACACAACUUGUUGCUUCGGGGGCGACCCUGCCGUUUCGACGGCGAGCGCCCCCGGAGGCCUUCAAACACUGCAUCUUUGCGUCGGAGUUUAAGUAAAUUAAACAAAACUUUCAACAACGGAUCUCUUGGUUCUGGCAUCGAUGAAGAACGCAGCGAAAUGCGAUAAGUAAUGUGAAUUGCAGAAUUCAGUGAAUCAUCGAAUCUUUGAACGCACAUUGCGCCCCUUGGUAUUCCGAGGGGCAUGCCUGUUCGAGCGUCAUUUCACCACUCAAGCCUCGCUUGGUAUUGGGCGCCGCGGUGUUCCGCGCGCCUCAAAGUCUCCGGCUGAGCUGUCCGUCUCUAAGCGUUGUGAUUUCAUUAAUCGCUUCGGAGCGCGGGCGGUCGCGGCCGUUAAAUCUUUUAUAAGGUUGACCUCGGAUCAGGUAGGGAUACCCGCUGAACUUAAGCAUAUCAAAAGGCCGGAGGAA
rnacentral:rRNA from 1 species